AGUAUAUUUAAAAAAGUGAUUUUAUCAACAGCAGUUUCACCAGCAAUGUCAAACUGGCCCUUAGUUAAACAAACUAAUUUUCUAUAAGGAAACAAUUUAAUAGGACUUGUAUGGAUUUCUUUGAGCUGUGUUUGUUUCAGAACUUGCAAAUAUGACUGCAACCGGUUAUCGCUUCUAAGGUCCAAGGCAAAGCAUAUGUGUUGUGCCUUGUUAUAUGAGGUUUAGAGAUGAAUCAUAGACGUAAGCUGCCAAACCUGAACAUAAAGGUGAUGCCCUCUUGUGGUCAAGUGUGGCAAUUUGCCUGGUAAGUGGUAAUAACCACAUGCCAGUGCUUGAUUAUUGGAAUAUUGCGCGCGCAGAACUAAACUGGUCCCUGUUUCUUUCAGCUUAGCUCAUAAAACACGGUGAGUGAUGGUGACUCCUGAAUUCCUUGACUUGCUUAACUGACUGAAGGUUUGUUUGGCGUAGGAAGAGGACUACAAGCGAUUUGAAGAGUCUUUGAAAGAUGAAAAUGGCACCAGGGAUGCUAAGGAGGACAACAUUAACGCCACCCUUAAUGGUACAAAAGAUGAAAACAAGAAGGAAGUG
rnacentral:misc_RNA from 1 species